rnacentral:rRNA from 1 species
UACGAAGGGGGCUAGCGUUGCUCGGAAUCACUGGGCGUAAAGGGCGCGUAGGCGGCCGAUCAAGUCGGGGGUGAAAGCCUGUGGCUCAACCACAGAAUUGCCUUCGAUACUGUUUGGCUUGAGACCGGAAGAGGUAAGUGGAACUGCGAGUGUAGAGGUGAAAUUCGUAGAUAUUAGGAAGAACACCGGUGGCGAAGGCGGCCAUCUGGCUCGGUACUGACGCUCAGGCGCGAAAGCGUGGGGAGCAAACAGG